UUCCCGGUCCGUCUCUUCUCACAGGAAACCGUUACUUUCCGUGGCGCGAGGGAGGGCAGGACGAACCGGAACCAGAGCCCCGGCACGUCCACUGCAGCUGGAGGAGGAGGAGCAGGACGUCACCUUUCACUGAGGACAUGAGCGUUCAUCCCUGACUACACUUCUCUUCAAAAACCUCCUCUGAACAAGGAGUAUUAUUGUGGAGGGUCAAGCAGAGAAAAAAAAGACCGUUGAGACUCCCGGCAGAAACCAGAAAUGAAGAAGAGAUGAAAGAAAGUACAUCGCUUUUAAUAUUCACCAGCCCUCUUACAAAGAGGGAAUAAAAAGGGAGUAUCCCACCAGUUUCACUUUACUUCACAACUCUGGCAUUUGAACCUGCAGACUGUGAAGCUGGACAGUCCAUCAAGUGUGCCCAACGAGCUGCCUCCAACAUGAAGGUGCAUUAUAGAUCAAAUUGAUUGAUUGCUUCUUUGAUUGAUUGAAAUAAAACAAAGUGUUGUCAUAACAUCUGUUAAAAAUGCACAACUUGCAAUGAACAUUGAGCAAAAAUAUUUAUGAGGCGUGUGUAGAUGCUUGUGCUGGCAAAUUAAUAAUAAAAUCAACAAAAAUCCAGAAAUAAAUCGACU